AAGACCAUGCUUUCAGGGAUCAUUUCUAUAGCCUGCGACUAGAGAAGUUUCUCUGAUUGUGUAGAGCACUGAAAAACAAACAACAAAAAUCAAAUGCAAUAGU
rnacentral:snoRNA from 1 species